GACAGAGGGUGCAAACGUUGCUCGGAAUCACUGGGCGUAAAGGGCGUGUAGGCGGGAAGGAAAGUCGGGCGUGAAAUCCCUGGGCUCAACCCAGGAACUGCACUCGAAACUUCUUUUCUUGAGUGCCGGAGAGGAAAGCGGAAUUCCUGGUGUAGAGGUGAAAUUCGCAGAUAUCAGGAGGAACACCGAUGGCGAAGGCAGGUCAGCUGGGCCGCAACUGACGCUGAGGAGCGGAAAGCAUGGGGAGCGAACAGGAUUAG
rnacentral:rRNA from 1 species